AUAGUCUGAAAAUUACUUUGGGUGUAUCAGUGGCCUGGAGUAAGAUAACUGUGCCAACAGAAAGGGGGCACAUUAAGCUUAUUGCCAACUCUUCCUGGUUGAGCAAUGAAACCCAUGUGCCUACAAAC